AAUUCCGGGAUAACCGGAAUGAAAGGGCAGGUGGGGCUGAUACGCCUGCCCCCUAUCAAACCAUUCGGUCUGGUUUAAGGUCGUGUAGGAUCGCCGUCUAUGACGGGGUGAUAUCACGAUUUUCUUCUGGAAUAAGCCGAGUGGGGAGAAGGCAAAGUUCACCUGAAUGCCCGGUGAUGUUCGCGCAUUACCGAUCGCGAAAUGGCAUGCAGGGAGCGAGGGGCGCUGGGAUGUAACAAUCCCGGCAGAAGCUGCCCCAAGCUUGGCCGGCUCAACCGGCAGCAGGACUCGGUGCCUUCGGGUGCCAAGAACAAUACGCUGCAGGCGAGGCCAGCCCGGAUUCGAAUCCUUAGGGAUUCAGAUUUGAGUGAGACGUUUGGAUUUGCUUUGAAUCUGAACUGAACGCAGUUGCCUGAAUUAGGUGUUGGUUGCUUACUGUGACAUCAGCACGGCGGAAGCCAUAAAUUGACUGGAAACAGUCAGCCGGACGAAAUCCUCCGAAAGGAGAACAAAAGCCGGGGUUCCCGUCGGGAUAGCCACGUGCCGAAGACGAUGGCCGUGAAAACUAUCCGAAACCGUGGCGAUGCGGCAAAAACCGCAGCGCUGCAAAGUAUGUGAAAUGGCAACCUGAGGGAUAAGAGGCGAGACCCGUGGCACGGGCCAACGCAUCGUCACAAGCGAUGGCCGACCCGGAGCCAAAGGGCUAGGAUGCGAAUGUAAUACUGGCGUGUCCCAGCCUGGUCCGCAGGUCAGUGGCCGCAACCACUGGCUGAGCGGGCAAAUAAACCUCACCCGAAAAUUCAUGCGUCGCAAGACCUUGAACGGCCCUGCUAUGAGGCCGGCAACUCCGCACGUCACGGAGAAUAGCGUCGGGGAGCAAUCGACCUGCUUCGGCUGGUGCCAAAUGAUUGCAUCGGGAAAGAGCGCGUGGCGAGCGCC
rnacentral:sRNA from 1 species